UUCUGCUUCUUCCACUUGGUCCUGCGGUUCUGGAACCAAAUUUUGACCUGCGUCUCCGUGAGGCUGAGCGACAGCGCCAGGUUCAGGCGUUCGCACACCGACAGAUAGCGCGUGGCUCGAAACUUGUUCUCUAGGGCCACCAGCUGCUCGGCAGCGAGACGCACCGGCGGGAGGGCAGCUCGCGUGAAUUUUUGCGGAUCCAAGAUGUCCAAGACAGAGAAGGAGAUCUUGUGGUGAGAGGGGGCCGCCUUGGCCCCGACGUCCUGCCAUGCCAACAUGCCCGCCUCCCGCGGGCCCGAGGCCAGCCGUACUGGGGUCGGGGCUGGAUGCGCUCAGCCGCUGUCUUCUGCAGUGGUUUGGCCACA
ensembl:antisense Gm16764 predicted gene, 16764